AAUAAUUGAAUAUAUAAUAGGAGAAUAUUAAUCAUAUUAGAAUUAUUAAUUAGUAAAAGUAGGUGCCAUUAAUUAUUAGUUAAGUGAGAAGAAAACAAGAAAAAUAGUUAUAAUAAUAAUAAUAAAACAUAGAAGAAGAAAAAAGGGGCUAAAUCCUUGGAAAAAGUAAGAAACAAUACACAACAACCAUUGUUCUGUUUUAGUCACGACAAAAAAAAAAGGGCUUAAAGCCUUAAAAAUCUUAAAAGCCUAAAGUCUUACCAUUCAAAAGAGAAAAGGCAGAACAGUCACGGCAAAAAGGAUAGAAAACGCAACCUUACGAACGGCAGCAACCAAAAAGAAUUCUCACGCAGACAGCGAAAAAUUCUGGAUUCUUUAUAACUCGCUUAUUUUUUAACUCAGGUAUGUAAAAUUCUCUAUUGUCAAUUACCCUAUAAUAGUAAUAGGUAAAAAUUGAAUAGCUAAUUCCCUUCUUCCUCUAUAUCAUCAAUAAAUUUCAUAAUUGGUGUAGUACUUGAAAAUUAAUUAAAAUACACUGGUUGUUGUAGAAUCAAUUGUUUGACGAGUAUAAAUUGGAUGGAGUCUACGUAUUGGCUCGAGAAGUUUUGAGGUGAGUUGAUAUAACCCUUUACUAAAGUGGUUUAACUCACAAAAGCACGCCUAUAACGUGUUUGACGAAUUGCUUAAAAGAGUUUAUCUUUAUUGAAUUAGAGCGCGUGAGUACCCAUUAAUUUAGAAUUGUUCUAGUAAAAGUUUAGAUGAUUUAUUUAUGCUAUAUGUGCUUAAAUUUCAGAUUUUUUGUGUGUUGUUUUUAUAUACUAUUUUCAUGUUAAAAAUUAUGAAGAAGAAAGGAUCUUUAGAAAUAUUUUUUUUAUAUAUUUGUUUCUUUCUUAUGCCAUGAUUUACAUUUAAGGGCACCAAUAUGAGCAUGUACAUAAUGUUUUAUAAAGAAAAGAUUUAGACUUGAAAGGUCACAAGAAGAUGUAUUAUAAAGAAAUUUUUUUUUGGGAGUAUCUUUUAUUCUGAGAAGGGGUCAUCGUCCAGGCCGAGGGUCCUGACCAAGACGUUGACAUCCUGAAACUACUUGUGCCAAAGUAGGGAGCACACGAGCUGAGGAUCUCAUUGCUGAGAGAUUACUUAGCCAUGCUAAGUAUGAUACAUGAGCGAUGAGAACCAUGAAGCGAGUGUCACCUCGUGGAUUAGGCAUAUUCGAUCAGGUUGGGAUCGAACCCGUGCCGAUCACACGGUGACUGAGAUAGAAUUAAUUUAGGAUAGUUGGAACUCCCAAAGUAUAAAGUGAAGUAUUUUUUUUUAAAAGAAAGAAAAAGAAAAGAAUUUAUUUUAGAAUAUUCAUAAACUGCUAUUAUGUAAUUAUUUUAAAAUUAUGCUUAUAAGUUUUAUGUUUUACAUGCAUUUAGAACCUUUUCUAAAAAUGCAUAUAUUAUUAAAUCUUCUCCCCCUGUUGUUGAGACUCACUGAGUACACUAGAUGGUACUGGGGUUCUCUUUUAGGAACCUACGUUGGUCUGCGGUACAACGUAGGAACCGAAUUUGCAGGCGAGCAUGCUACGAGUUAGGGACUGCCUUCCCUUUUAGUGAUAUUAGUGAGCUCCGCUUUCGUUCGUGGAGUAUUCUUAGGGUCAUUUUCAUUUAGCUAUUUCUUUGUUUAUUUAGAGAACUGGCCAGGAAAUCUCAUGUCCUGNNNNNNNNNNNNNNNNNNNNNNNNNNNNNNNNNNNNNNNNNNNNNNNNNNNNNNNNNNNNNNNNNNNNNNNNNNNNNNNNNNNNNNNNNNNNNNNNNNNNNNNNNNNNNNNNNNNNNNNNNNNNNNNNNNNNNNNNNNNNNNNNNNNNNNNNNNNNNNNNNNNNNNNNNNNNNNNNNNNNNNNNNNNNNNNNNNNNNNNNNNNNNNNNNNNNNNNNNNNNNNNNNNNNNNNNNNNNNNNNNNNNNNNNNNNNNNNNNNNNNNNNNNNNNNNNNNNNNNNNNNNNNNNNNNNNNNUUUUAUAAUAACUUAGUAAUAUUUUAUUGAUUACUAUAAAUAAAGUUUUGGAGUUGAUUUAUUUAAAUGUUUAAAUUAAUCAAAAGUAUUUUGUUAAGGUAUUGCCUUAUUGCAUGUAAAAUUGGAGUUAUAAUAGAUUUGAUAAAUAUAGAUGGUUCGAUCGGUCAUGUUUAAUGACCGAGUGUCGGUUUCAAUUUGUUCAGAAAAUGAAAUGUGACAUUACGCGAGACAGAAAGUAUAACUAUCGAAGUUCUUUCAACUUGUCCUGUAUUUAAAUAAGUAUUGCGGUUAAAUCAGUAAACAAGAUAAGAAUCGAAAAAUUCAAAUAAGAACUGCCAAGUACUUCUGUAGUAUUGUUGCGGGACUUUAUAUUAUCUAACUUCUUGGUGCUAGAGUUUUUUUUUUUUUUUUUGGUUGGUCUUUGUAUGCUAAAAUGGAUGAUAAAUAAUAGGGAAACUAUCAAACCAAUAAGGAUUAUCAUGUCAGGACGUGUUUUUAAAAAAAAAAAUAUAAAUACUCCUGUGUUCACUAAACAUAGUGAGUUCCAAGUGGGAAAUAUUAAAGGUUAUAGUACGUUGACUAUUAACAUGGAAAAAGGUUAAAUUAUGAUAAAAUUCCUUCUAAUAACGGCAGAAGGAAUAUAGAUGAAUUAUAUAGUCGAACCCAACAAAUAUGAGAUUGAGACAUAGUUAAUUGGUUGAUUGAUUGAGAUCUGGAGGAAUUGGGUGGGUGUGAUGGGUACUAGCGGAGUACAACUUAUUUCCUUUAUUUUAUGUGCGAAAAAAUAUUUGACUUAAUUUGAAGAAAGAAAGAAUCGAUCUUACGAAUUUAUGAUCUUAAAUAUGUCAUAAUAUUUUUAUGACUAUAAAAUCAUGUCAUUAAAUAUAAAAUAAAAAGUUUAAAAUUAAAUCUAGUCUUAGAUAAGCGACAUUCUUUUUUGGAACAUUUUUUUAAAAAAAAAAGAGUGAUUAAAUGAAUUAGAACGAGUAACUUUGAUGGUGAUGAGGACUCACUCAAGUCAUCUAUCAGUUGAUAAUAUUAUUUUGUACGUUAGAUUAAUUUGAUUUGAAGAUCUCUCAAUGAAUAACAAGCAAUAGAUUGUCUGAUUAUUUUUUUUUGUUCUUAGCUUGUAAGAUGAUUAUUGGUUGGAAUACUAGGUACGAAGAAACACUUUUUUCUUGAGAGAUUAUUAAUGGACCUCGUUGGAACCACAUAUAUGAUAUUAUCAUGUAUGUAGGUAACAACUCCAUAAUUAGUUAAAAUGUCGCCCUAGAAUGAAUUGACUUAUAUAGUAUUCUAUUCUUGUCUAGGAACAAUUACGACACCUGUAUAGCUCCGAGAAGAAAUGCAUGAGGACAAAAACUAAAAUGAUGGAGUUCAGAAUUUAAUUAAAGCAAUAAAUUUUUGUCCAAAUACACAUGAAGAAAUAGUAUUCCUACUCUUGAACUAAUAGGACUUCAAUUAGGGAUGCUUUGGUUCAGUGCUACCUCAAUGAUUUGCACAACCAGAUGUCAUUGUUGUUUAGCCAGAGAAGAGGGUACAAUACUGAACAAGUGAGGAAAAAAGUGAAACGACCAAGUUAUUUUUGUGUGAUUUAUAGAUCAUGAUUUAAAUUAUGGAAUUAGCCAUUAAUGUUUAUAUCAGAAUAUGCUGCUUAUAUCACACUCGUUGUUGGUCCUUCUCCACAUUCUUUUUUUUAUUACUUCAUUUGUUAAUCUAGAGCUUUAUUAUAGCAACAAUAAUAUACCCAGUGUAGUCCCACAAGUGGAGUAUAAGGUGGGUAGAGUGUAUGCACACCUUACCCCUGCCCUUAAGAAGACAGAAAUACUAUUUUCGAUAGACCCUCGGCUCAAAAAGGAAAAAGUGAAGGGGCAAUAAUAAGCAAUCUAGAGGCUUUAUUCAAAGAGUAUUAUUUCAAAAUGAUAUCAAUCAUCGAAGGGGUUGUUUGGUACAGAGCAGGGAUAUUCAGUAUGGGAUAGCUAAUAUCAAGAUUUUGAUAUAAAAUUUAUUCUGGUAUUAGUUAAUACCCACAACCUUAGAAAAGGUUACCGCAAGAAUGAGCAUUAAGAGGCUAUUUUCACGACUUGAACCCGCGAUCUCCAGGUCACAUGGCAGCAACUUUACCAGUUACCCCAAGGCUCCUCUUCUACGCACAACCUCAUUAGUUAUAAAUACCACCUUCUCAAACUAAUUAACAAUGUCUAAAAAGUAACAAAAAGGCCAGCCAAACAAAACAAAGAAAUUAAAAAAAAAAACAAGAAACAUUUUACAGACCAAGAGCAAUAGGGAAACCAGUGGAGCUCAACCAAGUAUUAGCAGCAAUAAAGUUGUUAGGAGUAUAAUCUUGAGCCUCAGUUGCACUAGUAAUAACUUUAAAACCUUUCCAUUUUACUCUGCCUGAUGUCCCAGCUCCUGCACCUGUAUUCUCAUACUCCCCAUAAAACAAGGUAUCAAGUGCAAAAUUCCCAUUCCACUCGUGCCACCCUGUCGGACUAAUCACAUCCGCAAUGGAACAUUGCAUGAUCACAGUCCUAGAAUAUUCCUUCCACGGCCGUCCUAAAUACGUAGGGAAAUUUUUCUGAACUGAUUUCAAGUCGGAAGUAGCGCCAAUUCUAGAUUUAUGUAUGACAAUGCCGGUGUUUUGGUUAGGAUCUGUCCGUCCUUGGGCGGUGAGCAUGUUUUUCUGGCCCGGGCCUGGACGUCUAGCGUGGAUGUCGCAGUCCUGGAAUACGGCUGCAGCGUUACCAAAGAUGAAAUCGACUGUGCCUGAAAUGAAACAUUGGACGAAGAAUUGACGAUUGGAGUGGACGUAGAGUGUGUCUUGGUAGCCUAACAUGUCACAUUUGUAGAAGGCGGAUAAAUCUGCACCCACACGAAGUGCAACUGCUUGGUGCUUUGCGUGCCCUGCUGUGUUUUCGAAUGUUAUGUCUCUCGCUAAGAACCCUUCUCCAACUGCGGCUGCAAAGUUACAACAACAAAACAUUAAUUCCUCGAAUUUAUAUGAAUUUCAACAUAGAUCAACUUGAACUCCAUCUGUACAUAAAAAGGGAAUUUACAAAGCAUUAUUCUUGUUUGUCCACCUAGUAAGAAUUUAACUUUUAUAUACCGGUAGGUCAACUAAAGGAUAACCACGUAUAGUUAUCAAAUAAUUAGUGAGAUUACUAACCUAAAAAAUAAGACCAGCAAGUUAAAAUAUAUUAAUGGUGUAAAAAUACUUCAAGUACAUGUAAGUUAAACCACUAAGGGCUCGUUUGUUACAUAAUUAAUCCCGGGACUAAAUUUAAAAAGAGUUUAUCCUAUGUUUGGUUAGUAGAAAAGUGCAGUAUAAUUAAUCCGGGGAUUAGUUAUCCCAGUAUUAAUUGUAAAGUUUUUUUAUCCCUAUGGUAGGUGUGAAAUAACUAAUCCCGGGAUCAUUAGUCAUGGGAUAACUUCUUUCCAACCAAAUGACUCCUAAAAAUUUAAUAUUGUCCCUUUAAUCCAAUUUAUUAAGCCACAACCAAAGAAAACAUAUUGCUUUAUGCGAGACCAAAAGAAAAUAACGUCUUACUCCAUCGCAGUACAUCUUGCAUAAAUACUUAUCAAAUUAAAUGGAGAAAUUAAAACAAAUCUUGAUUUAAAGGAGAAGGAAAGAGCUCAGCACAUAAUGACGACCACCAAAAAGUCAAUAAUGUCGGGAGUAAUUUACGGAAGGAGCUUCCAGCUGGAAAGCAUCAAUACUGAAUGGGGAUCAAGAGUACGUAAUAGCCAAAUGCAUGAUUUUCUGUAUACCAACUUCCAUUUUUUUUUUAUGAUAAUAAAUUUAGAUUUAAUUCAAAGAUUGUGUAACUACCUUUGUGUUUGUUGGAGGCCUACGUAGCCAACUUACCCUUCCUGGAAUGUGGACUUGGUUCUUGGUAGCUCUUUAAGUGUAUUAAUUUGUUAAUAUUAAUGAUAAUAUUUCGUCGUUAUUAUAAAAAAAUAUUUAAUAAAAGUACGAAGUCUAGAAAAUAUUAAAAUAUUUAAUAUAUAUAUAGUAUGAAGUUUGAAAUUCUAAUUUGGGUUCACGUGCAACUGCAAUUGCAACCUCUACAAGGAAAAUAACAAAAAAGUUCUCACACAGUACACCUUUGCCACAUGCAACUCCACGUCAUCUACAACAAAAAACUACAACAUGCUUUUAUUUUUUUUUAUUUUUUAUUUAUUCGUAUUAAAACCCAAUUAUAUUUGAAUUUAUUCGUGUAAGGUUUUAUUCGGCGAGAAAGCACUUCCUAUUAAGUUUUUUUAUACCCAACUCUUAGUUAAUACUACUAGCUAGGUCCAUUUGAUUUUAAGUAUCUUACUUUCCUUAUUAAUUUAUUUGAAAAACUAUAACUAUUGAAGUUCUCUUUGGUAUUAUAUAUUAUUAUUAUUAUGACAUGUGCCAGCCAAUCAAUAAUAUUCUCUCCCUUGUUAUAGGACAAGGGAGAGGUUAAUCUUUACGACUUAUAAAUUAACCUCACUCGUCAGCAAUUUGACGAAGCAACAACUAUGUUAAUUUGUAGCAAUAAUCUAUACGACGAGGAAAUUUGACUUGAAGUAUUAAAACAUCACCCCGUUACCUGCUAAAUGCCACUUAAUAAAAAACCGGUCUCUCUAUUCUAAUUUAUGUGAUAUGCAGUAGCGAAGUCGUCAUGAACUUUAUUACUAAGAAGUGUCAAAAUAUAAAAAGAUAAAUAUACGGACGAAGAAAAAUAAAGGAAAUUAAUGUGUGUGUAUAUAUACACACACAAAAUUUAUCUUUUACCUAGCUAGCUACAUAACGUAAUUUUUGACGAAGGAAUGUUAACUGACACCCAUUCGCAUAAGGUACCUCCUCCACUUAUAACAAGGACUUCGAGAAUCAAAUGAGUUAUUCUUUUACCAUAAUUUUUUGUGUGCCUUUUUAAAUAUUUUGAAUUGUUAAUUUUUGCAUUUUAUUGUACCUUUUACAUAAUUUUAAAUGUGUAAAAAGAAUUCAAAAAAUUUACAUAUUUUAUAUUCAAAUUUACAGUUAAAAAUUAAGAAAUUGGACUCUCAAAAUUUGAAUCACACAAAUUGGGACCGAGGGAAUAUCUUGCUAGAAAAAAAAUAAUGCACGAAUAAUAUUAAAAAGAAAAGCUAAUAAUGAAUUUAACUUACCAACAGUGGCAGAAUGGAAAGUAGUGCUACCAUCUUUGACAUUUCUGCUUCCAGUAAUUAUAGUAUUCUCUCUACCAUCUCCCAUAAACAUUAUGUUCUUCUUCUUCUUUGACACCUCCACAUUUUCUUUGUAUACACCUGCCUUUAUUCUAAUCACAUAUCUCUUGCUGCUCUUUUCAGGUGCGUUAGCUACUGCUUCACCCACCGUCUUGUAGUCUCCGCUUCCGUCUGCCGCCACCACUACAUCCGCCGUCACUGACGGUGAUUGCAGCAGUCUUCUAUCUCCGGUAGACAACCACUCCGGCC
rnacentral:lncRNA from 1 species